GACGAACGCUGGCGGCGUGCUUAACACAUGCAAGUCGAACGCGCCUGUCCUCUGGGUUUCUGGGGGGUGGGUGAGUGGCGAACGGGUGAGUAACACGUGAGUAACCUGCCCCCUUCUUCGGGAUAACGGUCUGAAAGGGCUGCUAAUACCGGGUAUUCACUGGUCUCCGCAUGGGGUCUGGUGGAAAGGUUUUUUUCUGGUGGGGGAUGGGCUCGCGGCCUAUCAGCUUGUUGGUGGGGUGAUGGCCCACCAAGGCUUUGACGGGUAGCCGGCCUGAGAGGGUGACCGGUCACAUUGGGACUGAGAUACGGCCCAGACUCCUACGGGAGGCAGCAGUGGGGAAUAUUGCACAAGGGGCGCAAGCCUGAUGCAGCGACGCCGCGUGAGGGAUGGAGGCCUUCGGGUUGUGAACCUCUUUCGCCCGUGGUCAAGCCGCGACGUGGGUCGUGGUGAGGGUAGUGGGUAAAGAAGCGCCGGCUAACUACGUG
rnacentral:rRNA from 1 species